CCUGUACCAUGCUGUGAUGACGGAGAACUUGGCGCUUCUGUCCUCCCUGGGUUGGAACACAAUCACUGAUCAUCUCUCCAGCUCUCCUUCUUGCCCCGCCUGGCGUCUUCUCUUGCGUAUUGGAGAUCAUGAAACAGCCUCCAAAACAUCAGUCGACAUCUAUUCGACAAGCAACAAGAUAGCUGACAGCUAUGAGUUGACGUAGAGUGUGUCCCUUUGAGUGCGUAGAUUUGGGAAAUUGCGGUGCUUCAUACAGUCUGAAAUCACAGGUCCCUAACCUUUCUGGGCUUUUCCAAGACUGCUCUCAAAGUCUGGGUGUGUCCCCUUUAUGAGUACUCCCCAUCCUUAGAGCCAGGGAUCGGCCCGCGCCCCUGACAGAGCCCCUAGGCCUUCCUUGAGUAAGUUCCGCUCUGACCGCUGGUAGGUGUGGCGGCAGCAGAAACUACAUUACCCAGAAGUCACUACGGUGCUCGGCGGAGACUGAGCCAAUGAAACCUUAGGGGAGGGACGCAUACGUGCGUGCGCAUCGAGUGUGGGCGGGACUUCCGGCGUUGUUUCUUGCUGUCUUUUGUUUGCUGUGCGCGGAUCACCCCUUCGCUGCCUCAGCGUCGGUUGCUGGGACCUGAGGUGACGGAACGGAAAAGCGGGAGGAAAGACCUUGUUGCCAUUGCUCAUCGGCGGCGUGAGUGAUGGCGGUGCCCUCGUUCCCGCCCCACUCCCCGCCUCUCCGGGCCCCUCUCUCCUACCGGCCGGUGGCUGAGGCCGCGCCGAUGAGCCCCGCUCAGGGCUGUGUGGUCUUUGAGGAUGUGGCCGUGCACUUCUCCCAGGAGGAGUGGGGGCUCCUGGAUGAGGUGCAGAGGCUCCUGUACCGGGAUGUGAUGCUGCAGAACAUUGCACUCUUAUCCUCCGUAGGUUGUUGGCACAGGGCCCAGGAUGAAGAGGCUCCUUCAGAGCAAGGUGAUUCCAUUAGCGUGUCCCAGGUCAAGGCUCCAGAGCUGGCUCCACCCACCCAGAAGUCUCCUUGUGAGAUGCAUGGUCCGCUCCUGAAAGACAUUUUGUGCCUGGCUGAGCCCAGCGGAACACACCCUGAAUGGGAGGCGCCCAUGUGUGGGGCAAGUCUUUCCCAGCCCCGAAAGGAGCAGAGUGGAGAGAAACUAUCUGAAAGGGACAAGGGGAGGCCCUCGUCCAUGAAGAAGUGCAGCGAUCACCUGGCCGGGAGGACCCCGACGUGCAGGGAGGGAGGGGAAGACUUCCCGCCCAGGUUAGGCCUUCUCCAGCCCCAGGCCCCACACAGUGGAGGGGAGCCACACAGGGUCACAGAGGGCAGGGAGACCUUUGAAAGUGGACAGGAAGAUUACAGGUGCCGUGACUGCGGGAGCGCCUUCGGCCAUGAACACGGAGUUGUUGAGCAGCAGGAAGGCCACGCUGGAGAAGAGUGUUCUGAUUGCAGCGAAAGCGAGCCCUUCCUCAGAAAGUUCCACCUGGUCCAGCACCAGAGAAUUCACACUGAGACAAGGCUUUACGAGCACCUUGGACACAGAGGAUUCUUCACACCAAGGUCUGGCCUCCCUGAACGCCAGCGCGUCCGCCCUCGGCCCAGGCCUCAUGGGUGCAGCCAGUGCGGGAGAUGCGUUAGAGACAGCUCCACACUCGUGGUCCAUCAGAGAGUUCACACUGGAGAGAAGCCGUAUGAGUGCAAUGAAUGCAGGAAAUGCUUUAGGUACAGCUUCACUCUCAAGAGACAUCAAAGAGCUCACGUUAGAGAAAGGCCAUUUGAGUGCAGCGUGUGCGGGAAACUUUUUGUCGACAGCUCCGCGCUCGUUAUCCAUCAGAAGGUUCACACUCGAGGAAGGCGUUUUGAAUGCAGCAAAUGCGGGCGGUUUUUCAGGUACAGCUUCACACUUGAGAGACAUGAGAAAGCUCACACGGGAGAGAGGCCUUACGAGUGCAGUGAAUGUGGGAAACUCUUUAGGCACAACUCAAAUCAUGUUAGGCAUCGGAGAAACCACACUGGAGAGAGGCCGUAUGAGUGCAGCGUGUGUGGCAGACUCUUCAGCCAAAACUCCCACCUCAUCCGGCACCAGAAUAUUCACACCAGAGAAAAAACGUACGAGUGUCGUGAGUGUGGGAAAUCCUUUAUGGACAGCUCCACACUCGUUAUCCAUCAGAGGGUUCACACCGGGGAAAAGCCCUAUGAAUGCAGUGAAUGUGGGAAAGUCUUUAGAUACAACUCCAGCCUCGUUAAACAUCGGAGAAUUCACACUGGGGAAAGGCCUUAUGAGUGCCUCAGCUGUGGGAGAGGCUUUAGCCAGAACUCCCACCUCACUCGGCAUCGAGAAGUUCACAGUAAAGUGUAUUGCAAACAGGCAAAGACUUCAAGGAAACCUCUGGUCUGACUUAGCACUGUGAGGUGUUGCUCUGCAGGGUUUUUAAAAACCUUUAAUGGUGGAAAACUACGUGUAACCAAAUUUAUGAUCUUAACCACAUUUAAGUGUAAGCUCAGUAGUAAUAAUACAUUCACACCUUGUGCAAAUAUUCAGAAGUCUUUUCAUCUUGCACAACAGAAACUAAGCCCAUUAGACAAGAGCACCUCACCCCCCCUCCCUUAUCCCCUGACAACCAUGCUCUGCUUUCUGCCUGUGCAUUUGGCCACUCUGGUACCUUAUAUAAAAGUCACAAUGUUUUUCUCCUUUUGUUGGCUGGCCUGUUGCACUGAGCAUAAUGUCCUCAAGGUUCAUCCAUGUCCCAGCAGGUGUCAGGAUUGCCUUCCUUUUUGCCUACUACUCCAUUCUAUGUCUAGGCCACUUUUUCUGUAUCCAUUUAUCAGUGGACUGUUGGGUUGCUUUCGCAAUUUGGCUGUUGCAAAUAAUCCUUUUAUAAGCAUGAUUGCACACAUAUUUCUUUGAGGCCCUGUUUUCAGUUCUUUUUAGGUAUAUACUCGGAAUUGUCAGAUCAUAUGGUAAUUGAAUAUUUAAUUUUUUUUGAGGAACUGAGGGGCUGUUUUCCAUAGUAGCUGUACCAUUUUACAGUACCAUUUUACAGUGGUACAGCUUGGAGGUUCUAAUUUCUCUACACCCUUGCCAACAUUUCUUUUUGCUUUCUUUCUUUCUUUUUUUUUUUUCUUUUUAGCAUUUUUUUGAGGUAAUUAAGCUUAUUUAUUUAUUUUUAGAGGAGGUACUGGGGAUUGAACCCAAGACCUUAUGUAUGUUAGGCAUGCAUGCUACCAUUUGAGCUGUACCCUCCCCCCAACACUUGUUUUCUUGUUUUAUUUUUUAUAACACUAGCCUAAGGGGCAUGAGGGGAUAUUUCAUUGUGGUUUUGUUUUGCAUUUAAUGAUACUGAACAUUUUUUCAUCUGCUUGUUGGCUGUGUAUAUUCUUUGGGAAAAUGUCUCUUCCAAUCCUUUGCCCAUUUUUAAAUGGGGUUAUUAUUAUUACUGUUACUUGGAUAUAGGAAUUCUUUAUAUACUCUGGGUAAUAACCUGUUAUCAGAUAGUUUACAAAUAUUUUCUUCUACUCCAAGGGUUCCCUUUUCAUUCUGUCCAUUUAGUCCUUUUUUGCACAAAAGUUUUAGAUUUCAGUUUAGUCCCAUUUAUUUCUGUUCUUGUUGCCUCUGCCUUUGGUGUCAUGUCCAAGAAAUUAUCGCCAAAGCCACCCAGUGUCAGGAAGCUUUUUUCCUCUGUUUUCUUCUAAGAGCUGCUGUGCACCAAGGUAUCAGCAGCAGGAAGUUGACACUGGAGAAGGACGUUACAUGUGGGCCACUGUGUUCUUUGCUUUUAACAUAACAGAGGAAAUCUCUGGAGGUUACCUCUGUGAAGGAUGUAUCUGCCAGAAAUUACAUCUCAUAUGUCCAAGCAUCCUCACUAGGGAGAUUCUCAGUAAGUGCCAGGUAUGUGGGAAGCUUUGGUGAACUGUGUUGCACUUUCAGACCCGCUUGGGGCCGUGACUGGAGUUCCCUCUGUUACCUGGCAGGGAGCUGCAGUGUGAACCACCUCAGUCUCUAAAAUACUCAGACACUGUGAAGGGAACCAGCAGCAAAAUGAAAAGACAACCUCCUGAGUAAGAGAAGAUAUUUGCAAAUCACAAAGCCAGUAAAGGGCUAAUAACCAGAAUAUAUGGAGAAUUUAUACAACUUAAUGUCAAAAAAAAAUUGGAUUAGAAAAUGGGCAGAGGACUUGAACAGGUAUUUUCCCAGAGAAGACAUGCAGCUGCCCAACAAGCACAUGAAAAGAUGCUGUACUUCACUGAUCAGGCAGAUGCAAAUCAAAGUCACAAUGAGCAGUCACCCCCACACCUGUCACAAUGGCUGCUGUCAAGAAGACAGCAAAUAACAAGUGUUGGUGAGGAUGUGGAGAAAAAGGCACCCUCAUUUGCUAUUGGUAGGGAUGUUAAGUUGGUGCAGCCACUAUGCCAAAGUGUGAAAGUUCCUUAAGAAAUUAAAAAUAUAGCUACAUUCAACCCAGUGAUUCCAAUCCUGGGUAUUUACCUAAAGAAAACAAAAACACUAAAUUGAAAAGAAAUAUACAUCCCUAUGUUCAUUGUAACAUUAUUUACAGCUGCCAAGAUAUGGAAGCAACUGAAGUGUCCAUUGAUACAUGAAUGGUAAAGAAGAUGUAAUAUUUACAUGUAUAUAAUGGAAUAUUACUCAGCCAUUAAAGCAGAAAUCUUGCUAUUUGUGACAGUAUGGGUAGACCUAGAGGGUAAUAUGCUAAAUGAAGUAAGUCAGUGAUUUCACUUAAAUGUGGAAUCUAAAAAGCAAAACAGAUGAAUGAACAAAACAAUCCAGAAGCAGAUGCAUAGAUACCAAGAACAAACCAGUGGUUGCCAGAGAGGAGAGGGGUGGGGGAAUGUUUGAAAUAGAUUAAGUGGAUUAAGAAGCACAAACUUCCAAUUGUAAAAUAAGCCACUGGGGGCAGGAAUGUCAUUGGAAUGUAAUAUGGAGAAUAGGGACUAGAGUCAGUAGUGUAAUAACUUAAAAUGUGACAGGUGGUAACUAGGCUUACUGUAGUAUCAUCUCAUCACUAGUCAAAUGUCAAGUUAGUAGUGUACACAUGAAGCUAAUAUAACAUUGGCACUUAUACUUCAACUAAAAAUUUUUUUUGUAAAGCAUUGGAAGUCACUGCUACAAAAUAGGUGAAGAUGGUCAAAAGGUACAGACUUCUGGUUGUAAAAUAAGUCAUGGAGAUGUAGUGUACAAUGUGGUGACUAUAGUUAAUAAUACUGUAUUGCAUAUUUGAAAGUUGUGAAGAGUAAAUCAGGAAAGUUCUCAACAAGAAAGUUCUGUACCUGUGUAUGGUGAGAGUAUUAAGUAGACUUACUUUGGUCAUUACUUUGCAAUAUAUACAAAUACCAAUCAUUAUGUUGUACAUCUGAAGCUAGUAAAUGUUAUAUGUUAAUUACAUCUCAGUUUUUUUUUCAGUGGGGAGAGCAGAUUGCUGUGCUGUCUCUCUUUGUCUAGAGUCUCCCCCGGCUGUUUGAGCCCUUUGGUGAGCCCUCACGGCCCACCCCCUUGAUUGUUUUGGAUGUGAACAUCACCCAGCUUGGACAGAGGACCCCAUAUGGCUUCGGUGGCAGCUUACAGAGGAUUCCCUUGUUCAGGGUCUUCACUGAUUGUCUCAUGACAUUCUGGACAGAUUUUUCCAGCCUCUGUUUUACCCAACCCAGGAACUUCUGGCUCCACUGUGCUGAUUUUUGUGCAAGUCUACAGAUUGUAUUCACCUGUCCUGUCAAGCGGUUAAUUGCCAGCGCUUUCCUAGCGAAAAAAUCGCAUUUUGGAGAACGGCCUAAUUCAUGUGGGAACUACAUUACCCAGCGGCCACUGCGAUCACCAGCAGCAGCGACGUAGCCAAUGAGAGCAGAGGGGCGUCUACGUGCCCGGCGCACCACGUGAGCGGAACUUACGCAUUUCCCCGUGGCACUGGUGUAGUUGUCGCGCAGCUCCUUUUCACUUCUUUGGGCCUCUGGAGUGCUGGGACCCUUCUGACGUGACUGAAUUGAAAAGCGGGACAAGAGACUGGUGCACCGAAGCGACUGUGAAGCCUGCCUGGGGACUCUGUGGUGCACUUGUUCCUGAAAUAAACAGGACCCUGUAGAGCCGUCUCAGAUUUCAUUUAUGAGUGAUAACAUAUGGUAUUUCUGUUUCUCUUUCUCGCUUGCUUGGAAUGACAGUCUCCAUCCACGUUGCUGCAAAUGGCAUUAUUUUAUUCUUUUUGUAGGGGGCCUUUAGCACCACCUGAAAUAUUAAAUGGAUCACUCAAUUAAAGUGACAUGACCCUGCUCUUCCUGCUGUUUCCACAUUCUGAAGAACCCCUCAAUGACCCCUGCACUGGACUACUUCCAUCUUCUAGGUCACAUAGUGUUGUCCAAUUAGAGCUGGGAGGAGAACAACGGGGACACAGACUCCAGGUUGUUGGCAACAAGCAGAGGAUGAGAAGACAGCUUAUGAGCAGGAUGAAGGUGCCACAAAUAAAAUUUUCAAAGGCAGUUUCCAUCUAGCUGAGGACCUGGGAACAACCUCUGGCCGAAAACCGUGUGGGGCAGGUGUGAAACUGCCCCCACGCUGUAAAGUGUUUAAGAGAGACGUGCGUAAGGCUCCAUGGUUCCCGCGUCCAAGAAGUCUUUCACAUGCCAACAUGCCAGGGGGCUGGGAGAGAUUCCUCUGGUAGCUCUGGCCUCACCACAGAAGGGCACUGAGUGUGUAAAAGCAUUCAGGAACCAACCCACACUUUUCCAACACCAGCUACUCCACUGGAAAACACCUCUUAGAGCGUAGUGAAGGUGAGGUUUUACACUUCGUUCUCACUAUCACAGACAUGCCUAAUGUGACCAUGUAGAGAACAUUAUGAGUAUACAGGUUUGUAUGCUUAAGUGGAUGACUCUUUUUGCCCCGUCAGUAAGUAGUUUUUGUUUCAUAAGAUGUUCAUCGUAUUUGCCUACUGGUAAUGAAUGUGGUAGCUCAGUUUUUUUGAGGGGGUGGGUGGGAGGGAAGGUAAUUAAGUUUAUUUACAUGCAGAUACUGAGGAUGGAACCCAGGACCCCUUGCACUUGGCUACACCUGUCCCUUUUUAUUAGUAA